rnacentral:misc_RNA from 1 species
GGAGUACGAAAUGAUAGUCGUCUGGGUCCACCUCCCCCCGUGUUUAUUUUACCUUGUUGCUUCGGCGGGCCCGCCUUAACUGGCCGCCGGGGGGCUUACGCCCCCGGGCCCGCGCCCGCCAAAUACACCCUCGAACUCUGUCUGAAGAUUGUAGUCUGAGUGAAAAUAUAUAUUAUUUAUAACUUUCAACAACUGAUCUCUUGGUUCCGGCAUCUAUGAAUAUCGCAACGAAAUGCGAUAUGUAAUGUGAAUUGCCCAUUCAAUGAAUCAUCGAUUCAUUGAUCGCACAUUGCGCCUCCUGGUAUUUCGGGGGGCAUGUCUGUCCGAGCGUCAUUUCUGCCAUCAAGCACGGCUUGUGUGUUGGGCCCCGUCCUCCGAUCCCGGGGGACGGGCCCGAAAGGCAGCGGCGGCACCGCGUCCGGUCCUCGAGCGUAUGGGGCUUUGUCACCCGCUCUGUAGGCCCGGCCGGCGCUUGCCGAUCAACCCAAAUUUUUAUCCAGGUUGACCUCGGAUCAGGUAGGGAUACCCGCUGAACUUAAGCAUAUCAAUAAGCGGAGGAAAUUACCGAGUGAGGGCCCUCUGGGUCCACCUUCCACCGUGUUUAUUUUACCUUGUUGCUUCGGCGGGCCGCUUAACUGGCCGCCGGGGGCUUACGCCCCGGGCCGCGCCCCGAAGACCCUCAAACCUGUCUGAAAAUUGUAGUCUGAGUGAAAAUAUAAAUUAUUUAAAACUUUCAACAACGGAUCUCUUGGUUCCGCCUCCAUAAAAAAGCCCCAAAUGCAUUCCUAAUGUGGAUUGCAAAUCAUGGAUCCCCAAUCUUUUAGCAAUGCCCGGUAUUCCGGAGGGAAGCCGCCCAGCAUAUUUCCCCCGCGGGGGGGGGGGGCCCCCCCCCCCGGGGAGGGCCAAAAAAAGGGCCCCCUCCCUCUCCCCCAUAGGGGUUUUUUCCCCUCUUAACCCGCGGGUUGUGCUACCCCAAUUUUUUUCUUUUACCCAAUAAAGGGGGAAGCCCCC